ACUGCAAAGACAAUGUUUAAUAUCCAAACAUAUGGACAAAUACCAUCCUGAAAACAUAUCUUUAAAAUACUAAUCUUCUAUUCUCCAGUGUGCGAAAACCUGUGGAUGCUGCAGUUUGGAAAGUUUGCUGGUUUUGGAGUGCCUCAAAGGUCGAUUUCAGCCAGCAGGAAAUGCUGGUACGGAGCAGCGCUGGAAUGAUCCCCAGAACUAGAAACAGAACUGGGUUCAUCAGUUCUCCAGUGAGUCCCGGACCAGGAAUGAAAACAAGCUCUGGGACCAACAGAGGCCGACAGAUCCUCCAGCACCUUGUGGUAGUGCUCUUUGAAGGCGUUGAUGUCGGCGUCCAGGAGGGCUGAAGGGUCCUCCUCCCCUUCCUUCUCCUCCUUCAGCUCCUUUAGCCGUUUCUCCAGCAGGUCCACGUGAGGCUGCAGGGAAGCCAGGCGAGCCACCUCCUCCUGCCAGGACAAGGAGGGGGAGAGAGUGUUAUUCGACCACACAGGUCGGCUCUGUUUAACUAGCCGGUAUAUCCAUAUAUGUCCGAUAAAAACUGAU